GGCGGACGGGUGUGUAAUGUCUGGGAAACUGCCUGAUGGAGGGGGAUAACUACUGGAAACGGUAGCUAAUACCGCAAACGUCGCAAGACCAAAGAGGGGGACCUACGGGCUCUCUUGCCAUCAGAUGUGCCCAGAUGGGAUUAGCUAGUAGGUGGGGUAACGGCUGACCUAGGCGACGAUCCCUAGCUGGUCUGAGUGGAUGACCAGCCACACUGGAACUGAGACACGGUCCAGACUCCUACGGGAGGCAGCAGUGGGGAUAUUGCACAAUGGGCGCAAGCCUGAUGCAGCCAUGCCGCGUGUAUGAAGAAGGCCUUCGGAAUGUAAAGUACUUUCAGCGGGGAGGAAGGUGUUGUGGUUAAUAACCGCAGCAAUUGACGUUACCCGCGAAGAAGCACCGGCUAACUCCGUGCCAGCAGCCGCGGUAAUACGGAGGGUGCAAGCGUUAAUCGGAAUUACUGGGCGUAAAGCGCAGGCAGGCGGUCUGUCAAGUCGGAUGUGAAAUCCCCGGGCUAAACCUGGGAAUUGCAUUCGAAACUGGCAGGCUGGAAGUCUUGUAGAGGGGGGUAGAAUUCCAGGUGUAGCGGUGAAUUGCGUAGAGAUCUGCAGGAAUACCGGUGGCGAAGGCGGCCCC
rnacentral:rRNA from 1 species